AGAGUUUGAUCCUGGCUCAGAAUGAACGUUGGCGGCGUGGAUUAGGCAUGCAAGUCGAGCGAGAACCCGCAAGGGGGACAGCGGCGAACGGGGUAGUAAGGCGUAGGUGACGUGCCCUUAGGACCGGAAUAGCCACGGGAAACUGUGGGUAAUGCCGGAUAAUCUCUGGAUUUCAUUUUCUAGAGCAAUGGGUGUGAUUCCGCCUUUGGAGCGGCUUACGUGGUAUUAGCUAGUUGGUGAGGUAAUGGCUCACCAAGGCGACGAUGCCUAGGGGGUGUGAGAGCAUGGCCCCCACCACUGGGACUGAGAUACUGCCCAGACACCUACGGGUGGCUGCAGUCGAGAAUCUUCGGCAAUGGACGAAAGUCUGACCGAGCGACGCCGCGUGCGGGAUGAAGGCCUUCGGGUUGUAAACCGCUGU
rnacentral:rRNA from 1 species